rnacentral:lncRNA from 1 species
GCAGCUUUUUUAGUGCUUCCAUCACCAUUUAUCAUCAAGAAAAAGAAUUCAUAAGAUGUCUGACUCAGAGCAAGCAAUAAACAGUGUGACUAUUUUGAGCCAUGACCACGUCAGCAUGGCAUCUCUUUUUAUUGUUUAACACAGCAGCAUUUGUCACUAGAUGUUUCAUAAUAUACUAUGCAUUAAUGAUGCUAAUCAACCACAAUUUUUUCCCUCAGUUAACUUGUAACACUCCCUUAUCAACACUGAGAGGAAGAUGUUAGCUAAGUCUGCCUCUAAGAGUUAGAUAUAUCCUUACAAAAGUGUACUAUUUAACUUUUGGAGAAUAGAAGGAUGUAUUUUCCCUUCUUUUUUAAAUUGAGAUAUAAGUAACAUAUAACAGGAGAUAUUUUCUGACAGUUUAAACGGUGUACUUUCAUGAGA